UCGCUGGGCACCCCCAGGAAGGGUCAGGGGCUACGAUUUGGUGGCUGCCUUGAGGCUCAUUUGACCACGUGACUACUGUUUUGAAAAUGGCUGUUUCAAAGUAGCCCUUUCUUUUCCACCCAGAGGUUGCCCCAAGUGAGGUACCCGCCCCCAUCUCCAAUAUAGGGUGACAGGCUGACCUUUCCACACUCCCCUCUGUGACCCCUACUCUCUGCAGCUGAUCCUUCCAUCACAGGGCUGAGCAAUGUGAUCUAGAAGCUAGUGUCUAAACAUUUCAUUGAAACUGUCUUUGGAGGCUCCCUGCCAUGGUUAAUUCUGUCACAUUCUAGAAUGGGGGGAGGGUCGGACAGACUGAUAACCAGGUCCUAGCUGAUCUCAGGACCUGUAAGGGGAAAUUCCACUCCCAAAGUGGGUCUGAUAAGCAGGCUGUCCAAAUAUGGGUAAGCUGGUGCCCCCCAAACCUGCCCCACAAGGGCACCAGCCUUUGCUACCAGCACUCUGGGAUUCUUCUUAGGAUGGAGUUUUGUGUUCAGCCAUUACAGUAGGCAGAGCCUUCCAGGGUGACCUCAUUUGGAACCAGCAUCAUAGCUCACAUUUUCUGAGCUCUUGUUAUGUGCUAGACUUAUGUGAUCAUUCCAUUUAAUUUUCACAACCCCUCUGUGAGGUGUGUGUAGGUCCCAUUGUCAGGCUAGUGGGUGAGAAAGUGAGGCACAGAGAGCCCCUGUUGCUUGGCCAGGCUCACACAGCUAGUUCAGGGUGAAGCUAGGAUUAGAACAAGGCAGACUUUCUCUACAGCCUGCACUCUAAAGCCAACGUGCUAGUUGUGAAGACCCUGAAGUCCUUCAAAGACUACCAGUACCAACAAGAUGGGGGUCCCCAGACCCAUGACCUUGCCCAAGAUAGGUUUUCACACCCCAGUCCUGGGUACCCAGCCUCAGUGACACACUUACCUGCAGACCUGAGGUGUUCCUGGCUGCUGGGGGAUGGAAGGGGUAAGGGGCUUUCAGGAGGGGACUGGGAACCAAAGCAGAGCAUCUGAGCGCAUGCUGUCAACCCUAAGGCGGAGGGCCCUGGUUGGGGAUUAUGCCUAGACCUGUGAGAAUGAUUUCACAUAGAUUAGGAUGUCAGUCCUGUUGUAGGGAAGGCACUAAAAGAUUAUUAUUAUUAUUGCAUAAUGUUGAAGUCUGAGCAAAGCACUAGUUCAGGUGCCGGGAAUACAGAAUUGGACAAAAUACGAAAACAAAAAACACCUGAAGCUGACAGUCGAAUGAGGUUACAGACAAAUAAACACGCAUGGUGUGUCAGAUGGUGAUAAGUGAUCACAGACAAGUAAGGCAGAAUUUCAACUGGGGUUGAAACUGAGUAAGGUGGUCAGGGUGGGCCUCCCUGAGAAGGAUAUUUGAGCACAGACCCGCAGGAGCUGUGGGAUGAAGCCAGGUGGCUGUCAAGGAACAGGUGAUCCAGGCAAGGGAACAACUCUCCCCAUUACUACUCCACUGUUGUGAGACGGCCACAUUGAGGUGGGUGUACUUUCUCUCAUCAGCCUUUUUGGACCCGUAUAUACUUAAUUCAGACAUAUGUUAGGUUAAGUGAGCCAUGAGGCAUAACCCCUAACCCUAACCCCCUAACAUGCAGCUUGUUGCAUCAAAGUCCUACAAAGCAGAGAAUGAGAAACCCAGACCCGAAGUCACCAAGAGUACAUUACGGGAAGCAGAAGAGAUUUGACAAAAGGUACACAGCAAUGAUUAGUGAAGAGCUUCCAGAGCAGGCCCUGGCUGAGGAGAGGCCCCCACCCUUACCUGGGAGCCCCUGCCCUACCUGUCGAGGCACACCGGGGCAAAGAGGGAGCAGAGGAAGAGGCGCACAUCAGGGUCGCACUCCCUGGCCAGCAGGGGCAACCAGCUGACUGCUGGAUGGCCUCGGCUGCUGUGUCAUGGUCCAGCAAGUGGGGUAGCCGCAUCUCUGUGUAGCCAAUGUUGUGGCACAGCGCCAUGGCUUGGGGAAUGGCCAUGCACCGUGUGGGGCCCCAGGGAGCCCCUGCCCCACCGUCACCCGACAGCACCACCAGUGCCACCAGCUGCCACAGCCCUUGAUCCAUCACCUGCUUUCUCUGCCUUGGUCUCAGUGCACUGAGGUUGGGGGCUUUAUAAGGGCUAUACCCACACCUCAGGAGCCAAUGUUUGCCCAGCUUCCAUGUGCUCAGACCCACCUGGUUAGGCCCCAGUGUGCUGACCUGGGCUGUUUGCAUUUGAAUAGCACAUGGCAGGGGGCUGUAUAGAGGGUGGCAUCUCCUUUGGGCCUGUGAAUGACUGGCACCUAAUAAACUGAAGAAACCUGGG